CUGAUUCCCGUGGACCGACAAGGAGCAGCUGGGAAACGGAGCGCCACAAGCCCACAACUCUCGCGCAGGCUUCUCUCCCAUCUCCGCCCUUCCCGAAGCAGCACGGUGCAGGCCGCGGACCCGCGGUUUCUCCACAGAAUCCCGCUCCACGCACGUCGCCCCCGUCGCCGGCGAGGCGGCUGUGCUGCUGCGUACUCCCCUGGUUCCAACUCUGAACCGGCCACCCUCUCCUGCUCCGCGACCUCGAGUAACUUUUUGAGUACCAGUGAUGCAAAGGGACACAAGCUCUAG
rnacentral:misc_RNA from 1 species